AGAGUUUGAUCCUGGCUCAGAACGAACGCUGGCGGCAGGCCUAACACAUGCAAGUCGAGCGAGGACUUCGGUCCUAGCGGCGGACGGGUGAGUAACGCGUGGGAACGUGCCCUUUGCUACGGAAUAGCCCUGGGAAACUGGGAGUAAUACCGUAUGUGCCCUUCGGGGGAAAGAUUUAUCGGCAAAGGAUCGGCCCGCGUUGGAUUAGGUAGUUGGUGGGGUAAUGGCCUACCAAGCCGACGAUCCAUAGCUGGUUUGAGAGGAUGAUCAGCCACACUGGGACUGAGACACGGCCCAGACUCCUACGGGAGGCAGCAGUGGGGAAUCUUAGACAAUGGGGGAAACCCUGAUCUAGCCAUGCCGCGUGAGCGAUGAAGGCCUUAGGGUUGUAAAGCUCUUUCAGUGGGGAAGAUAAUGACGGUACCCACAGAAGAAGCCCCGGCUAACUCCGUGCCAGCAGCCGCGGUAAUACGGAGGGGGCUAGCGUUGUUCGGAAUUACUGGGCGUAAAGCGCACGUAGGCGGACGAGAAAGUCAGAGGUGAAAUCCCAGGG
rnacentral:rRNA from 1 species